CACCGCGGUUAAACGAGAGGCCCCAGUUGAUAAUAUUACGGCGUAAAGGGUGGUUAAGGAGUAUAAUAAAAUAAAGCCGAACUGCCCCCCGGCCGUCAUACGCUUCCGGGUGCUAGAAGCCCAACUUCACGAAAGUGGCUUUAGAAAAAUUCGCCUGACCCCACGAAAGCUGAGAAA
rnacentral:rRNA from 1 species